rnacentral:rRNA from 1 species
CUACGGGCCGCUCCAGUGGGGAAUUUUGGACAAUGGGCGAAAGCCUGAUCCAGCCAUUCCGCGUGAGUGAUGAAGGCCUUCGGGUUGUAAAGCUCUUUCGGCCGGGAAGAAAUCGUGCAGGCUAAUAUCCUGCAUGGAUGACGGUACCGGACCAAGAAGCACCGGCUAACUACGUGCCAGCAGCCGCGGUAAUACGUAGGGUGCGAGCGUUAAUCGGAAUUACUGGGCGUAAAGCGUGCGCAGGCGGAUGUUUAAGCCAGAUGUGAAAUCCCCGGGCUUAACCUGGGAAUGGCAUUUGGAACUGGACAUCUAGAGUGUGUCAGAGGGGGGUGGAAUUCCACGUGUAGCAGUGAAAUGCGUAGAGAUGUGGAGGAACACCGAUGGCGAAGGCAGCCCCCUGGGAUAACACUGACGCUCAUGCACGAAAGCGUGGGGAGCAAACAGGAUUAGAUACCCCAGUAGUC